rnacentral:pre_miRNA from 1 species
UAACCUCUGCGGCUGGAGGCCCCCAGUCUGGGCUGGGUGAGUACCUCUUCGAAAGGCUCACCCUCAAGCAUGAGUAGGAGG